AAUAUUGGACAAUGGGGGCAACCCUGAUCCAGCCAUGCCGCGUGUGUGCAGAAGGUCUUCGGAUUGUAAAGCACGUUACGUUCGGAGAAAGUGCUUUAGGUUAAUACACUGAAGUUAUUAUGUUACUCACAGAAGAAGUUCCGGCUAACGCUGUUUCAUCGGCCGCGGUAAUACAGAGGCUGCAAUCGUUAAUCGGAAUUACUGGGCGUAAAGCGCGCGUAGGUGGUUCAGUAAGAUGGGUGUGAAAUCCCCGGGCUUAACCUGGGAACUGCUUUCAUAACUGCUGAGCUAAAGUACGGUAGAGGGUAGUGGAAUUUCCUGUGUAGCGGUGAAAUGCGUAGAUAUAGGAAGGAACACCAGUGGCGAAGGCGACUACCUGGACUGAUACUGACACUGAGGUGCGAAAGCGUGGGGAGCAAACA
rnacentral:rRNA from 1 species